rnacentral:rRNA from 1 species
GACGAACGCUGGCGGCGUGCUUAACACAUGCAAGUCGAACGGAAAGGCCCCUUUGGGGGUACUCGAGUGGCGAACGGGUGAGUAACACGUGAGUAACCUGCCCUUGACUUCGGGAUAACUUCAGGAAACUGGGGCUAAUACCGGAUAGGAAUCCUUGCUGCAUGGUGGGGGUUGGAAAGCUUCGGCGGUUUUGGAUGGACUCGCGGCUUAUCAGCUUGUUGGUGGGGUAGUGGCUUACCAAGGCUUUGACGGGUAGCCGGCCUGAGAGGGCGACCGGCCACAUUGGGACUGAGAUACGGCCCAGACUCCUACGGGCGGCAGCAGUGGGGAAUAGUGCACAAUGGGCGGAAGUCUGAUGCAGCAACGCCGCGUGCGGGAUGACGGCCUUCGGGUUGUAAACCGCUUUCAGCAGGGGCGAAGCUUGUGGUGACGGUACCUGCAGAAGAAGCACCGGCUAACUACGUG